GUAUGUUUUUACUGUUUACCUUGUCAACCUACUUUAGGUUUACCUAGCGACCUCAUAACAUCGUUUUAGGUAAUGCUAUUUGCAGACGGAUGUCAAAAUGGCGCGUGACACUGGUGUUGAGGGCUGCGUUGAAGCCCUGACACGUGAAAGGGGUUUUAUGCUGGUUUUUGGAUCUUCCCAUACGAUAAUAAGCCUGAAUAAGCAUGUAAAAGUGGUCAAGUUUGACUUUGCGUGUGAUUAUUCACGGUCUCAAAACCACUUGUCUCCAUCAUCACCCAAAAUCUGCCAUAAUCCUUCAGCUGCAUUCACUAAGCCUGUCUGUUGCAGCACUCGUCCAGUCUCCAGUGUCCUGUAGCUUCUUUCAUUAAACGGCAGAACCAAUUGUAGUUUUAACUCCUCUCCCUGGGCUAUCCGGUGACAGGCUCUGGAUCGGCCCGCUGUGUCUGUCCCGAUUGAUGCGUUUCCAGACAAGCCCAAGGCUUCUCCAGAGAGCCAGGCGGAGAGGGGGGCCUCAUCUCUACCAUUACCCAGCUUGUUCCCACUCCAGAUGGGUCUCUUCCGCAGCAUUCCCUCCCUCCAGACCACAGAGUGAGGAAUUCCAUAUGUUUGGGAAGGGGAGAACAUCUGCAGAUAAGGGAAGAGCGUUUUAUAUGAAGGAAACCAACAAUCCCACUGUUCCAAAAGACUAUAGGAAGAGGCAGAGCAGCCUGGCAGCCCACUCUGCAUGAGUUUCCAUGUGAGUCAUAUCCAAACUUCUCCGAACCUCAGCCAAGAAAGUCUCAUGAGUUAGUAAAGGAGGUGGAGACAAAGAGAGAAAGGACGAGGAGAAUGCCAUUAUUCCAUAAAAGAGCUGAUGGAAGGCAGACAGAGAAAUGACCCACCUCAGGCAGAGUCUUUUCUUUCUCACUUUCUCUCCCACUGCUGAUCAUGAUGCAUAAGUCCACGGUGUAGAAAAAAAAUCAUCCCCAUUCCCCUCCCCAAAACAGCAUUAAGUGAAUGAGAUGUCUGUUGGCUUUCAGACAGAAAUUGGCAGGGCUUCUGGCAUAUAUUUCAUCAGUGGUCCAGCCUCGCCUCCAUCCCAGGGAAUUAAUGGCCGGGAUUUUCAUGAAUGUGAAAGCAGCACAGCUUGGUAACCACGCACAAUAACUGAAGAUGCGUGAGCACACUUUGUGAGUAUGUAGGUGCUACUGCUGUAAUGUUCUGGAAAUGUGUGUGUGUGUGUGUGUGUGGUCCUAAGUAUUCCCUAUGUUAUGGGCAGGGGUGGACUGGAGCCAAAAAGUGGACUUUU